UAUUAAAAAUUUCAUCUAAUUAUAUUAUUAAAAAUCAACUAGGCUAAUAGAAUAAUUAGACAGUAAUAGGUAGUGUGUUAUGUGUAUCUAAUGUUAAUGUACAUAGAUAAUUUUUUUAACAGUAAAAAUGAAUGAAAUUUUUAACA
rnacentral:pre_miRNA from 1 species